rnacentral:pre_miRNA from 1 species
GGUCGCCGCCGGACCCGGAAACGGGAAGAGCCGGGCCCCCGACGGGGACCCGGCUCUUCCGGUGCGCCUGGGAUCAGGCGAGGUAGU